rnacentral:rRNA from 1 species
AGAGUUUGAUCAUGGCUCAGAUUGAACGCUGGCGGCAUGCCUAACACAUGCAAGUCGCGCGGAGUGUAGCAAUACACUUAGCGGCGGACGGGUGAGGAAUACAUAGGAAUUUGCCUUUAGGUGGGGGAUAGCCCAGGGAAACUUGGAGUAAUACCGCAUGAUGUCGUGAGACCAAAGCCGGGGACCGCAAGGCCUGGCGCCUUUAGAGAAGCCUAUGUCUGAUUAGCUAGUUGGUAGGGUAAUGGCCUACCAAGGCAACGAUCAGUAGCUGGUCUGAGAGGACGAUCAGCCACACCGGAACUGAGACACGGUCCGGACACCUACGGGUGGCAGCAGUGGGGAAUAUUGGACAAUGGGCGCAAGCCUGAUGCAGCGACGCCGCGUGAGGGAUGACGGCCUUCGGGUUGUAAACCUCUUUCAGUAGGGAAGAAGCGAAAGUGACGGUACCUGCAGAAGAAGCGCCGGCUAACUACGUGCCAGCAGCCGCGGUAAUACGUAGGGCGCAAGCGUUAUCCGGAAUUAUUGGGCGUAAAGAGCUCGUAGGCGGUUUGUCGCGUCUGCCGUGAAAGUCCGGGGCUCAACUCCGGAUCUGCGGUGGGUACGGGCAGACUAGAGUGAUGUAGGGGAGACUGGAAUUCCUGGUGUAGCGGUGAAAUGCGCAGAUAUCAGGAGGAACACCGAUGGCGAAGGCAGGUCUCUGGGCAUUAACUGACGCUGAGGAGCGAAAGCAUGGGGAGCGAACAGGAUUAGAUACCCUGGUAGUCC